GGCAGCGAAGCCGAACCGAGGGUGGGAAGACCCUCCUGAGGAGAGCGGGCGGGCGUGAACGCGGGCUCAGUCACCCGAGCCGCUCCGUUACCGCAGCGGCGACGACGAUCAGGGCCGUGUUGUUGCUGCCAACUUGUCGAGAAGACACUGAGCAUGCGCGCGCGGAGACCACAUCCGGCUCCAAAUCACGAAUUCCAACGGUAUAUAAAAUCGACAGGUGCCCAGGACAGUGUCAAGGAAUUACACGUUCAGAAACCUUGCCAGGUGUCACGAAAUUUAAAUGGUUGUUGGGAGCGACCAGGGAGACCUCUACACUUCCUAUUAAUCAGGAUUGGGGGUGUCGCUCAGUGGUAGAGCGCUUGCCUAGCAUGCUCAAGGGCCUGAGAUCAUCCUAAGCAACGCAAAAAAAAAUAGUAAUAAUAAAUGUUUUAAAAGUUCCAGAAAACACGAAUUAUAUGGGGGUGGGGGGGUAUUUGUUUCUUUUGUUUUCACCUGGCAAUAAAUAAUUCUGUCGGGGUCCCUCCAAGAUUAA